UACGUAGGGUGCAAGCGUUAAUCGGAAUUACUGGGCGUAAAGCGUGCGCAGGCGGUUGGGCAAGACCGAUGUGAAAUCCCCGGGCUCAACCUGGGACCUGCAUUUGUGACUGCAUCGCUAGAGUACGGCAGAGGGGGAUGGAAUUCCGCGUGUAGCAGUGAAAUGCGUAGAUAUGCGGAGGAACACCGAUGGCGAAGGCAAUCCCCUGGGCCUGUACUGACGCUCAUGCACGAAAGCGUGGGGAGCAAACAGG
rnacentral:rRNA from 1 species